CCGAGCGGACGAGCGGACGCGCUAUUCUAGCGCAGAAACACCGCCUCUAAGCGCUAUCCCCGCCACUGGACACAACCCGAUGACACCGCUGCCGAGCCAACGCCUCCUCGCACGCUUCUGUCGCUACUAUAGCACACGCUACGGAAGCCGCUACUCCUCCCACCACCUACCUGCAAAUUGUGCGCUAGCUGCCGCCGUGCGCCUUCUCUCAUUGCAAAUCACGUCAUCCCACCGCAGAUCGUAGCCUCCCCCACCGGCGCCGAGGUAGGAGCGCCCUUCCUGCCGUCCUACUCCGAUGUGAAAAGGAUUUGCUUACCGUCCUGCACGGUGUUGUUCCUCAAUCUUCGCAGUAGCGUCCUCAGUCGUUGCUGCUCCGCCGGCCGUGGUGGCGCAUGCUCUUCCUUCAAUCUCUCGGUUCAUAACUCAUGGUUCAGACUCCUUAGCCCACCGACACGCCAUCCAUCUCCAUCUCCACCAAGAAGAUGAAGGACGCUUGAUUUGGCCGCCUCGCUUUGAUUUGCCCGUCGAUCAUCUGUUGCAGGGUCAAUCGUGGAUACAGUACUUUUUAUCUGAACAAAUAUUGGCCUUUUGCUUUUUUGUGUGUUGAUUUUCAGUAUGCAUUUGUGUUUUGUCUUCAAAUUAUGUGGCGAAUUGUAAUCCAUGGAAAUCUCUUAAACAGUUGAUAGAAUUGUUGAUGCUAAUUCCCUUUGCGUGAGUUGCAGGUGUUCAGCAAAAUCCUGCUUAGGUACUGUCUCUUGCAAGCAAUUUGAUCCAUUGUGUUCUCCUUUCUUCACGAAUUCAGGGCACAGUCCAGUUUGCUGACACUAAACACUUCAAUGUUAUACAUAGUUCAUACUCUUUCUCUGCAGGUGGUCACUUAUUUCUACCUUUCUGUCUACUACAAUGGAUAGCGCCACUGGAAGCUCCACACCAAAUCCAGUGGAAUGAACAGGCCUCCAGCGUUGUUUCCAGGUGAAGUGAUUUAUCUGCCACCAGCAGUCAACACCUUCGUUUGUUUCAUGCCUUGUGAUAAUCUGUGCCUCAGAAAUCCUCCACUUCGCCCUACUAUUAUGUCAGUCAGGAAGUUCGGGUAUCACUAUGUACUCCUUCAACCAAUGAAGAUCACAUCAUGGUGUUUCAGAUUUUGUUCGAGUUGACAUUGUAGACAACAACUGAACAUUUUGCUAAAAUCUUGUCAUGGUUCACCAUGGCAUUUCACUGUUAGGUACACUGUUUUUAAGAGCUAUUACUACAGUAUAUAUUGGACUAUUGAGAAUACUCGACCCCUUGCUCCAUAUAUACAUCAUGAUGACGUCCAAUUAUGUGUUGCUCAAUCCUGAAGAGAAAACCGACAAGACAAUUGUGCAGAAAUGCAGGUGUUGCUGCUAAGUAACAUCAGGGGUGCUAGAGCUUAGUCAAGAUGCCUGGUGGCGGAGCUGAUGAUUUGGAGGCUUGGAGCAAACAUAUAGCGUGCUGACGAUGACCCUGUAUGCAUGAUUCCUAUUGAGUAAAUUUCUCUUUGGACAACCUUUUAGUAUCGAUGUUUCGCUUUGAACCACUCUUUAAGAGAUAAUCCAU